CCUACGGGUGGCAGCAGUGAGGAAUAUUGGUCAAUGGUCGGGAGACUGAACCAGCCAAGCCGCGUGAGGGAUGAAGGUACAGAGUAUCGUAAACCUCUUUUGUCAGGGAACAAAGGCGGGGACGCGUCCCCGGAUGAGUGUACCUGGAGAAAAAGCAUCGGCUAACUCCGUGCCAGCAGCCGCGGUAAUACGGAGGAUGCGAGCGUUAUCCGGAUUUAUUGGGUUUAAAGGGUGCGCAGGCGGUCUGUUAAGUCAGCGGUAAAAGCCCGGGGCUCAACCCCGGCCCGCAGUUGAAACGGGCAGUCUCGAGUUGGAGAGAGGUAUGCGGAAUGCGCGGUGUAGCGGUGAAAUGCAUAGAUAUCGCGCAGAACUCCGAUUGCGAAGGCAGCAUGCCGGCUCCACACUGACGCUGAGGCACGAAAGCGUGGGUAUCGAACAGGAUUAGAUACCCGAGUAGUC
rnacentral:rRNA from 1 species